rnacentral:rRNA from 1 species
AUUGAACGCUGGCGGCAGGCCUAACACAUGCAAGUCGAGCGAGCGGCGGACGGGUGAGUAAUGUCUGGGAAAUUGCCUGAUGGAGGGGGUAAACUACUGGAAACGGUAGCUAAUACCGCAUACCAUCAGAUGUGCCCAGAUGGGAUUAGCUGGUCGGUGGGGUAACGGCUCACCUAGGCGACGAUCCCUAGCUGGUCUGAGAGGAUGCCCAGCCACACUGGAAAUGUGACACGGUCCAGCCUCCUACGGGAGGCAGCAGUGGGGAAUAUUGCACAAUGGGCGCAAGCCGGAUGCAGCAAUGCCGCGUGUGUGAAGAAGGCCUUCGGGGUGUAAAGCACUUUCAGCGGGGAGGCGUUACCCGCAGAAGAAGCACCGGCUAACUCCGUGCCAGCCGCCGCGGUAAUUC